AGUGAACGCUGGCGGUAGGCCUAACACAUGCAAGUCGAACGACCCUUUCGUGGGUAGUUGCGGUCAGGUGAGGAACGCGGGGGAACGGUGCGUUAUGCUCCGGAAAACACAUUGACACGGGGGAUAACGCCGGAUGACUCCCGCGGGUGCAAGAUUUAUCGCCCUUAGAGAGGCCCGCGUCUGAUUAGCUAGUUGGGUGAGGUAAUGGCGCACCAAGGUGACCUUCAUUAGCUGGUCUGAGAGGAUGAUCAGCCACAUUGGGACUGAGACACGGCCCAAACUCCUACGGGAGGCAGCAGUGGGGAAUCUUGCGCAAUGGGCGAAAGCCUGACGCAGCCAUGCCGCGUGAAUGAUGAAGGUCUUAGGAUUGUAAAAUUCUUUCACCGGGGACGAUAAUGACGGUACCCGGAGAAGAAGCCCCGGCUAACUUCGUG
rnacentral:rRNA from 1 species